rnacentral:snRNA from 1 species
AGCAGGUCGGCAGCACAUAUUCUAAAACUGGAAAGAUACAGAGAAGAUUAGCACGGCCACUGUGCAAGGAUGACACGCAAAUCUGUGAAGCAUUCCAUAUUUUU